GGGGACGACUGGUUUUGACAGCGAGAUCAGUGAUAAUGUAAGCAUACCGAGGAGUGAAAUGACGACUCGUAAAACUUAUUUCAAACAUUUAAACGGCGAAGAUAACUACGCUUUAGCUGCUUAAUCUGAAUUAUAGUAAGAUAGAGCCUCGGCACACAAGGUGUGCAAGCUAAAUGUCCACGAAAAGCCUUGGUUUACGGCGUUUCAUUUAUGGGCAUCGUAAAAGUAAACAUAGAAGACUUAGCACUCCGAUAGGUUUUCGAAAUUUAAGGAGAUAAGCUAAAAGUGGGUCGUUUUGAAUCAGCUUUUAGUCGACAAUUAAAUCAAAACUAAGUAUGUAGAAAGCUUUUGAGCUGCUUGUUUGGACCCGGGUUCGAUUCCCGGCGUCUCCACUU
rnacentral:tmRNA from 1 species